UGCACCGAAGCUGCGGCAGCGACGCUGAUGCGUUGUUGGGUAGGGGAGCGUUCUGUAAGCCUGCGAAGGUGUGUCGUGAGGCAUGCUGGAGGUAUCAGAAGUGCGAAUGCUGACAUAAGUAACGAUAAAGCGGGUGAAAAGCCCGCUCGCCGGAAGACCAAGGGUUCCUGUCCAACGUUAAUCGGGGCAGGGUGAGUCGACCCCUAAGGCGAGGCCGAAAGGCGUAGUCGAUGGGAAACGGGUUAAUAUUCCCGUACUUGGUGUUACUGCGAAGGGGGGACGGAGAAGGCUAUGUUGGCCGGGCGACGGUUGUCCCGGUUUAAGCGUGUAGGUGUGUGUUCCAGGUAAAUCCGGUUCACUUUAACACUGAGGCGUGACGACGAGGCACUACGGUGCUGAAGCAACAAAUGCCCUGCUUCCAGGAAAAGCCUCUAAGCAUCAGGUAACAUCAAAUCGUACCCCAAACCGACACAGGUGGUCAGGUAGAGAAUACCAAGGCGCUUGAGAGAACUCGGGUGAAGGAACUAGGCAAAAUGGUGCCGUAACUUCGGGAGAAGGCACGCUGACACGUAGGUGAAGUGAUUUACUCAUGGAGCUGAAGUCAGUCGAAGAUACCAGCUGGCUGCAACUGUUUAUUAAAAACACAGCACUGUGCAAACACGAAAGUGGACGUAUACGGUGUGACGCCUGCCCGGUGCCGGAAGGUUAAUUGAUGGGGUCAGCGCAAGCGAAGCUCCUGAUCGAAGCCCCGGUAAACGGCGGCCGUAACUAUAACGGUCCUAAGGUAGCGAAAUUCCUUGUCGGGUAAGUUCCGACCUGCACGAAUGGCGUAAUGAUGGCCAGGCUGUCUCCACCCGAGACUCAGUGAAAUUGAACUCGCUGUGAAGAUGCAGUGUACCCGCGGCAAGACGGAAAGACCCCGUGAACCUUUACUAUAGCUUGACACUGAACAUUGAGCCUUGAUGUGUAG
rnacentral:rRNA from 1 species